UACGGAGGGAGCUAGCGUUAUUCGGAAUUACUGGGCGUAAAGCGCACGUAGGCGGCUUUGCAAGUUAGAGGUGAAAGCCUGGAGCUCAACUCCAGAACUGCCUUUAAAACUGCAUCGCUUGAAUCCAGGAGAGGUGAGUGGAAUUCCGAGUGUAGAGGUGAAAUUCGUAGAUAUUCGGAAGAACACCAGUGGCGAAGGCGGCUCACUGGACUGGUAUUGACGCUGAGGUGCGGAAAGCGUGGGGAGCAAACAGG
rnacentral:rRNA from 1 species